UACGUAGGGUGCGAGCGUUGUCCGGAAUUAUUGGGCGUAAAGAGCUCGUAGGCGGUCUGUCGCGUCGAUCGUGAAAACUUGGGGCUUAACCCUGAGCUUGCGGUCGAUACGGGCAUGACUGGAGUUCGGCAGGGGAGACUGGAAUUCCUGGUGUAGCGGUGAAAUGCGCAGAUAUCAGGAGGAACACCGAUGGUGAAGACAGCUCGCUGGGGGUGUCCUGACGCUGAGGCGCGAAAGCCAGGGGAGCGAACGGG
rnacentral:rRNA from 1 species